UACGUAGGGUGCAAGCGUUAAUCGGAAUUACUGGGCGUAAAGCGUGCGCAGGCGGUGAUGUAAGACAGGUGUGAAAUCCCCGGGCUUAACCUGGGAACUGCAUUUGUGACUGCAUCGCUGGAGUGCGGCAGAGGGGGAUGGAAUUCCGCGUGUAGCAGUGAAAUGCGUAGAUAUCGAGAGGAACACCUGCGGCGAAGGCGGGUUGCUGGGCUGAUACUGACGCUGAGGCGCGAAAGCCAGGGGAGCGAACGGG
rnacentral:rRNA from 1 species